GUUGGGGUGAACUAGAAUUAUUCUGAUCCAUCGAAAAAAAUUUUGAUGAUACUGUGAUGAAGAUCACGGUAUGUCUCAAUAUCAGACAGAAUAAAAUUUAAAGGAUCACAUACAAAAGAAGUUUGACCUGAUCAAUGGCUUGGAUCAAAUUUGAAUUAUCAAUUUGAUUGAUAGCUUGAAUUUGAAAAUUGCUAAUUUAUAAGUAUUACAGAUUUAGUAUCUGCUAAUUGUUAGC
rnacentral:lncRNA from 1 species